AGAGUUUGAUCCUGGCCCACAACUAACGCUGGCGGCAGGCCUAACACAUGCAAGUCCAACGCUCCGCAAGGAGAGUGGCGCACGGGAGAGUAACGCGUGGGAACCUUCCUUUUGGUUUGGGAUAACACCGGGAAACUGGUGCUAAUACCGGAUAAGCCCUUCGGGGGAAAGAUUUAUCGCCGAAAGAUGGGCCCGCGUUGGAUUAGCUAGUUGGUGAGGUAAUGGCUCACCAAGGCGACGAUCAGUAGCUGGUCUGAGAGGAUGAUCACCCACAUUGGGACUGAGACACGGCCCAAACUCCUACGGGAGGCAGCAGUGGGGAAUAUUGGACAAUGGGCGCAAGCCUGAUCCAGCCAUGCCGCGUGAGUGAUGAAGGCCCUAGGGUUGUAAAGCUCUUUUGUGCGGGAAGAUAAUGACGGUACCGCAAGAAUAAGCCCCGGCUAACUUCGUGCCAGCAGCCGCGGUAAUACGAAGGGGGCGAGCGUUGUUCGGAUUUACUGGGCGUAAAGGGUGCGUAGGCGGGUCUUUAAGUCAGGGGUGAAAUCCUGGAGCUCAACUCCAGAACUGCCUUUGAUACUGAAGAUCUUGAGUUCGGGAGAGGUGAGUGGAACUGCGAGUGUAGAGGUGAAAUUCGUAGAUAUUCGCAAGAACACCAGUGGCGAAGGCGGCUCACUGGCCCGAUACUGACGCUGAGGCACGAAAGCGUGGGGAGCAAACAGGAUUUAGAUACCCUGGUUAGUCCACGCCGUAAACG
rnacentral:rRNA from 1 species